rnacentral:tRNA from 1 species
GCCUUCGUAGCUCAACUGGAUAGAGCGCAUCGCUUCGAACGAUGAGGUAGGGGGUUCGAGUCCCUCCGGAGGCA